AUACUAGAAUGUGGACAUUUUCUAAUCUACUCCUUGAACUGUUCCCACACCUCAUGAAACUUUUCAUUUGGUUUUUGGGCAAAAGAUAGAAUCUGCUCAUGUUAAGAGU